AAUCUUCCGCAAUGGACGAAAGUCUGACGGAGCAACGCCGCGUGAGUGAUGAAGGUUUUCGGAUCGUAAAGCUCUGUUGUUAGGGAAGAACAAGUACCGUUCGAAUAGGGCGGUACCUUGACGGUACCUAACCAGAAACCCACGGCUAACUACGUGCCAGCAGCCGCGGUAAUACGAAGGUGGCAAGCGUUGUCCGGAAUUAUUGGGUGUAAAGGGCACGCGGGCGGUUUCUUAAGUCUGAUGUGAAAGCCCCCGGCUCAACCGGGGAGGGUCAUUGGAAACUGGGAGGCUUGAGUGCAGGAGAGGAGAGCGGAAUUCCACGUGUAGCGGUGAAAUGCGUAGAGAUGUGGAGGAACACCAGUGGCGAAGGCGACUCUCUGGUCUGUAACUGACGCUGAGGAGCGAAAGCGUGGGGAGCGAACAGG
rnacentral:rRNA from 1 species